GACGAACGCUGGCGGCGUGCUUAACACAUGCAAGUCGAGCGGAAAGGCCCUGCUUUUGUGGGGUGCUCGAGUGGCGAACGGGUGAGUAACACGUGAGUAACCUGCCCUUGACUUUGGGAUAACUUCAGGAAACUGGGGCUAAUACCGGAUAGGAGCUCCUGCUGCAUGGUGGGGGUUGGAAAGUUUCGGCGGUUGGGGAUGGACUCGCGGCUUAUCAGCUUGUUGGUGAGGUAGUGGCUUACCAAGGCUUUGACGGGUAGCCGGCCUGAGAGGGUGACCGGCCACAUUGGGACUGGGAUACGGCCCAGACUCCUACGGGAGGCAGCAGUGGGGAAUAUUGCACAAUGGGCGGAAGCCUGAUGCAGCAACGCCGCGUGCGGGAUGACGGCCUUCGGGUGGUAAACCGCUUUCGCCUGUGACGAAGCGUGAGUGACGGUAAUGGGUAAAGAAGCACCGGCUAACUACGU
rnacentral:rRNA from 1 species